rnacentral:lncRNA from 1 species
GGGAGAGACUACACGGGGCCCCGCGGGACACCCUCCGCCCACCUGGCGCUUGGAAGCGCCAUCCGAGGGGACCGGGACGAGAUCGGACUCGCAGGCGGCCGGUGGUGCGCCCUCGCCCGCCUGCGGUCCGGAGCCGGCCCGGUUGUCUAGCGCCACCUGGCGCCCGCCUCUCUAGCCUUUUCCCCCGGAGCUCCGCAAGACUAGCGACGGCUGGGAUUCGGCCGCAGUCAGCGCCGCAGAGUUCCAGGGGGCCGGCAGCGCCAGCAGGAUGUGCUGGGCGGUGCCACGGCGUCGGCGGGUCUUGCCUUCGCUGGGGAUUGGGCGAGUAGGUCUCUUAGGGAGGCUGUCGUCGCGUCUCCGGCAGGGCUUGUGGGGCUGCCCAGACGGGUCGACCAGCACACGCCGCUCGCCCCCUGUCGGCUCCCGGGAAGCGACCGCGACCGUGGCGGCCCCCACUGCUAUCCAGCUAUCUAGUGGAUCUUCUGGACCAGCCACCAGGUCACACCCAGCUGGUGACAAUGUCACCAGGAGGAUCCCAGGAUGCCACUAGGAUGAUCCCACCCUGCAGACGGCCUCCCAAAGUCAAUCUCUGGCAGAGCAUUCAGGUCCACCCCCACGAAUGUUUCCCGGGGAGCUCUGGGGAAAUCUCAGAACUGCUGACAGGUAACGCACUACGACCUAGUAAGUCGUCACUGGAUGGAUUGAGGAUAGGAGGUGAGGGGAACACAUGGCCAGGUGGGACCACAGUCUUCUAGAGUCUCAUCAUUAGAAAGACAGGGAGGCCCUGGGAGGUCUUCUGCGCGGUCCCUUGCCUCUGCCAUGCCACGUUGCCUCCACUGCUAGGGAGAGGGGACUUAUAGUAAAUCUGACGUUCCCAUGACUGGGAUCCACCACUGUCGUGCUACUGCUGCUCUCCCAACCCCCGGGGGGAGGCCCCACCUCCAGAUAAGUUGUGGAAAGAUCGGGAAACGAAAGGACCACUGGGACCCACGAAGGAGGGCAUAGGGCUUGGACACUGUCUUCCAUUGGCCUGUGGCAGUCCUUUUAGGUCCCCCUGUAGGCAGAGGGGCGCCAGAGCCUGCUGGUUGACCAACACAUGCCAACCCCUAACAACCUCAGAGCACAGUGUGGGCCACACAGCGCACACUCCCACACAUCCAACUGGGGCAAAUGUGCCAACACCACGGCACAGCCUCCUGGAAGCUGCUUCCCACGCCGCGAAUCCCAUCCCUUGCUAAUUUCACCAGCGCUCUGGAGGAACUAGUUACAUAAAAGUACACAGCAGGUGUUGCCUGACAAUUGGUGACA